GUCUCGGUGCGUAUAGGGCAAGGAAUCUGACGGCAGGAUUAAUUAAUGUCUUAGCUGAGGAAAACAAUAGAAAUAAGUGUUGAAAAUCCUUGUGUCGGUGGUUCGAUUCCGCCCCGGGCCACCA
rnacentral:tRNA from 1 species